CAAAAUCCAUCAUCUUCUUCUUCUUGCUCCUUUCUAUCCUCCUCUUCUUUCUUCGAAUCGAUCAUCGAAUCAGCAGUUCUCUCUCUUCAUUCCGAUCUCUCUCUCUCCCCCCGGUGUUCCUUUCUCCUUUUCUGGCGUUCCGUCAAUCGUUUCCGAGUGAUUCCAGUUCUGGUAGACAAUGGAAGAAGAAUCUAAUGGCUCCUUCAAAGAAAUCUAGGGAGAAGGCAGAAUUCAAGAACCCAGAUGAAUUUAGUUUUAAGAUGAUCAGAGCAAAGUUGGUUGAUGGAGUUCAUACGUCCAUGAGCAAAGUGAAGAAGUACACUGCAAAAGAGCUUAUGCAAAUGAAGACUCAAGAUAUUCAAUACAUUUUUCUGACAUUGCAAAGCGAGAAAAAAGUGGACUAUCCCCCUCUAAGAUAGGGCCGAACUUUGCAAGCGCCUCCUUUUUACUGUUUUAUCUACCGUUUUCUUAAGUUUUUACUCCUCCUUGUAGAGAAUCGAAAAACUUACGGUCAGUCUGCACUGUCUUGGCCAUCCGGUGGGUGGAAAUCAUGUUUACUUUGCACAAGACAGGGAGUCACACCUUUCCAGCAAAAAAAACCCGGGUGAUGGUUCGGAGGAUAAUACUCCGAAACAUAUUAAAAGGAAGGUAGAGAGAUCCUGCAGAGAUCUUGAGGACUGUAAGAGUAGAGCAGAAGGAGCUACAGGUAGUACAAGUCUUCAACCAUGACAGGGUCUCCAAGAAAGUAGUUAGGAACGGCGGACGAAUGGGCGAUUGAGCUAAUCCCCGCUGCCAAAUUCGGGAGGAGUACGAGCAGACAAAGAAGAGGUGGUCGACUGACUCUACGCCCACUUGA